ensembl:lncRNA
ACCAACUUUGUCAUUCAAUUUCUUGCUGGAAAUAAAACCAUGUAGGUAAAACCCAAGAAAUAAAAAUGAAACACUCCCUCCUGCACCACCACAUACCCUUGACACUUCUCAUGUUUCCACCAUCCAAAAGACUACAAAUUUCGUUAACGCUUUUCUCUUGAGAGUAAAUAAUACUUUCAAAGAAAGCUUUUCAAAUAUUUAUCAAUAUAGAAUACGAGCACUGUGCCAGGCGCUGGGGAUACAAAGAUGAAUACAUCCUUGCCUUGAAUAUGUUGGGACCCCAGGAUGCAGCAGUCACUGAGCAAGCGGUAACAAUAAUCCAGUGUACCUGGGAGCAGGAAGUCAGCCCGGAGUGGGUUUGUGCUUACGGGAACUCCUUACCCUUCCACACAGUUUUGGCAGGGCGUGGAGGAGUACUUCUUUGGGGGAGGAGGAGGAUGUGUGAAGUAGCUUCUCAAGGGAAGCAGAUUAAAUUGGAUGAACUGGUUUUUGGCAGGUGGCAAAGAGGAGAGUAUUACAGAGAGCAGCCUAAAAAGGACACAGAGACUGGGGAAAUGUGUGACUGAUGGAAAGAAAAUAAGACCUCUUUUGUGAUGUAUGCUGGGGAAACAGCGGUGAACAACUGCAUGGACUCCCGGAAAAGCUUAAAUCUCAAGGUGCUUCAAACCAUUAAAGUGUUACCGAAGAAACAGCUGAAUUUCUUUAGGAAAAAAAUCUUGUUAAAAGAAAAACCUAUGUAAACCUGCUAGACAGGUUUACAUUAUAUUCUGUUUACAUAAAGCAAAUAUUAGCAUUGUAUUGUAAUAUCCUUGCAAACCACAAGAUGUAAACAAAAGUGGUUCUUAGAAGGGUUCUCACAGUUUCAAAUCUUAGAUGCUAAGUAUUAGUCUGCUGUCUUCCAAAAUAUAACAUUGCUUUAAUAAAAUGACUUUGGGGCUUCCCAGGUGGCUCAGUGGUAAAGAAUUCACUUGCCAAUGCAGGCGACUCAAGAGGAGAAGCUGGUUCCGUCCCUGGGUUGGGAAGAUCCCCUGGAGGAGGAAAUAGCAACCCACUCCAGUACUCAUGCCUAGAAUAACCCAUGGAAAGAGUCCAGCGGGUUACAGUCCCUGGGGUUACAGAGUCAGACACAACUUAGAGACUGAGCAUAUACACACAUUGGUUUGCUGUCUUCCAAAAUAUAACUUAGUUUUAAUAAAAUGACUUGGCUAGGCUUACUUACUCUUGAAUAUAGC